UCCCUUGUGGCUGACUGGUAAAGAAUCUGCCUGCAAUGCAGGAGACCUGGGUUUGAUCCCUGGAUUGGGAA
rnacentral:tRNA from 1 species